UUCAAAAUUCCGAUCAGAUUCGAUGAACAACCAAUUAUAAAAUUGUUAUAAGCAAUUGCAAAAUAUCUUACAAGGAAAUAAAUGUUUAACAAAGUGAGAAUGGUUGAAAUAUAUAAAGAAGGAAACAAAAUAACACCGUUCACUGCGAAAUUUUCACGAUAUUAUAUUCCUUACUCGCUUUCCAAUCCGAUCGUUCGAAUUCGAUUCGAAAAAAUGAAUGAUGGAACGAGACGUCAGCUGUCUAACUGCAAAAGUUCUAUUAGAGGUUCAAAAAGGGUAAAAUAAGAGAGGACAGAAAAUAGAGAAAGGAGGAAAAAAAAUAAAGAUGGAUGGAAGAGAAAAGAAAAGAGGAAAGGUGUAUAGUUCGCGGAUUCAAGCUGCACCGACACCAGAAACGUCCCACGGUUUUCGAGGUUCAGCAGGGUUAAAAGGAAUUACAUUAUCGUGAAGCGUUUGGGCGUGGGAGACCUGAACCCUGUUUCGAGGAUCCGGCUGUGAUGCACCCGUUGCACCCGCGACCUACCUUCUGUACUUCCUCCAUGGCCUGCGUCGAUCCUUUAUUUUUUCAUUCAUUCCCGAAAGGAAGGAUCGCGGUGUUGUGAAGAUUUCGAGACGAUUUUUUGAAGGAUUAAGUAAGGUAAACACCAUGCGUGUAUCACGAACGAUUAAGAAAGAGAGAAUUACAAAGUGGAUGUAUUAAGUUUAAUUAAACUGUCCAUAAGAUUAAUAUCACAUGUAUAUUCAGACUUCAAUAUUCAAUAAUAAUAUAAUUGAUAUAACCAAGGAAACAACAUCGAUAUAUUAAACUAAAUAUAUUAAUAUACUAAAAGAUAAAUUAUACGCGAAAGAUAUCGCAAAACUCUUUCCUCGUUUAUCUUUAAUAGAACGUAUUAAUCUGACAGAACCUCUCGGCUCUAUAUCUUUCCAACUUCCACUGUUUGGUAGACAUCAGCUUCUAAAGGGAGACAGAUGAGGUGGACCACUGGCAGGUAGCCGGUGUAUGUGGUGCAGCAGGUGAGCAGUAGGUCAACUCGGCUCACAUGUACAUUUAUAUGCGUGUCCGAUGCUCGAUACAAGAAAGUUCUUUGUCUCGAUGGAAAUGCACCGUGUGAAAUCAGAAAAUUCAUGAAUUGGGAAAAGGAUUUUUUAAACAAGUUUUUAUAAAAAAAAAUCAAAAGUCAAGGUCGUUCAAGAUCGUUCAAGAUGAUACAAGAUCAAUUCGUUCAUCGAUUCAAGAGAAACAUUCUAUUGGAGAAUUUUUUUCGACAUUCAUUUUUAUCAUUAUUCGCUCUUCAAUUAUUAUACAAUAAUAAUAUUAUAUAGAUUCAUCAUAUUUGAGGCUCUCGUCAAGAUUCUUGGAAAAUUGCAAGAAACUCGAUACCGAGCAAAAGGAACUUUAUCGACCGUUCGAAAUGAUUCGAGUUUUCGAUGUACAGCCGGUACAUACAUACUCACACAGAGUUAGGAGUCAGGUAGUAAGGUGGGUAGGCGGUGGGUAGGUAGGUGCAUACGCGUAGCGUGGGAAGGUCCGGCAGCUGAGAGCAGAAGGGGCCCCAAAAAGCGGCUGCAGCUUCUUCUUCUUGCCUGUUGCUGCCGCUGCCCUCUGCCUCGGCCCUUCCUCACCCGUGGGACCUGCCCACUUCUUCUUCUUCUUCUUCUGGAUAUACGACCCCUCGACCGAACUAUUCAGAUGCCCGUGAACGCGACUUUUCCGCUUUCCUUCUUUGCCUGUAUACGACCUCUCUUAAUUCUCAGCUGUGCCAGGACCUUAUCGAAUAUCGGUGUAAGUACACAAACUGUCGUUCAAUGAUCGAUUUGGAAAGUUUGCAAAGUCAAUGCUGGAAUAAGAAUUUUAGGGAAA
rnacentral:lncRNA from 1 species